AAUCUGUGAUAUUUCCUGAAAACUUGCAACUAUUAUAAAAUCAUUUUAAAACCCUAUGUUACUUAAGUCAAUAUGGAAUAUGUGAUGGUAGAGUAUGAGUUUCUUAUUCUUGAUAUCAUUGCUACUUGGAGGAUUUAUUUCAAAAUAUUCAAAAUUCUAGCUACCAUCCUCAGUGUUUUAUAUGCCUAAUAAAACUGAAAAUAUUAAUUAUGAUUAUAAAAGCUAUCUGCUCUGUAUUGAGUUUGUUCAAAAUAAGUUAGACCCUUGUUGAGAGGUUUAUCAUGCUCCUAAGAUCAAGACAUUUAUUCAGAAAGAUUCACUCUUCCGAAGUAUUAUUGCAUUAGAGGCAUGGGCUAUGCAAAAAUAGAGAUAUUUCGAGGAAAUAAAAAGGAGCAAUGCUCGACAACCUCGCAGAAAAAAAUGGACAAGUGUCCGGCAGUAGAAUUAGGGAUACCUCUGUAUUCACUUAAAAAAAAGAGAGAGAAAAAAAUGAUAGCCCAUGGUCCCUCUAAUAAGCAAUAUGCUAGCAAGAGUUGACAAAGAUUUUAAUUUCCAAAGUCUUUGAUCUAAGAUUAUGACAUUCCCCUC
rnacentral:lncRNA from 1 species